rnacentral:rRNA from 1 species
AGCGGCGGACGGGUGAGUAACGCGUGGGUAACCUGCCUCAUACAGGGGGAUAAUAGUUAGAAAUGACUGCUAAUACCGCAUAAGACCACAGCACCGCAUGGUGCGGGGGUAAAAACUCCGGUGGUAUGAGAUGGACCCGCGUCUGAUUAGCUAGUUGGUAAGGUAACGGCUUACCAAGGCGACGAUCCAUAGCCGACCUGAGAGGGUGACCGGCCACAUUGGGACUGAGACACGGCCCAA